CAGGAUGGUCUUGAUCUCCUGACCUCAUGAUCCGCCCGCCUCGGCCUCCCAAAGUGCUGGGAUUACAAGCAUGAGCCACCACACCCGGCCCACUAAUCUACUUUAAUAUAAUUAACAUGUUCCUCUAGUCCUAGGGAAAAUGAGCCUGAUGACUUUACCAUUUUCCACCUCUAAGAGCCAAUCGCAAAGGAGGCUGGCUGGCAUCUUGUGUCUGUCUAGCAUCUCUACCAGUUUCUGUAGAAAACCCUCAAGCUGUGCCAAGACGAUCAUGUCUGGACACAGCUCUUGGUGUCACGGGGUGUCUCCUCCUACUGCCUAUCGCCCUUUGCAGCCACCAGAAUAAUCAUGCAGGGUGAAGCCUGAGGUGGAGA
rnacentral:lncRNA from 1 species